rnacentral:rRNA from 1 species
AUUGAACGCUGGCGGCAUGCCUUACACAUGCAAGUCGAACGGUAACAGGUCUUCGGAUGCUGACGAGUGGCGAACGGGUGAGUAAUACAUCGGAACGUGCCCAGACGUGGGGGAUAACGAGGCGAAAGCUUUGCUAAUACCGCAUACGAUCUAAGGAUGAAAGCAGGGGACCGCAAGGCCUUGCGCGUUCGGAGCGGCCGAUGGCAGAUUAGUUAGUUGGUGGGAUAAAAGCUUACCAAGCCGACGAUCUGUAGCUGGUCUGAGAGGACGACCAGCCACACUGGGACUGAGACACGGCCCAGACUCCUACGGGAGGCAGCAGUGGGGAAUUUUGGACAAAGGGCGAAAGCCUGAUCCAGCAAUGCCGCGUGCAGGAUGAAGGCCUUCGGGUUGUAAACUGCUUUUGUACGGAACGAAAAGGCUCUGGCUAAUACCUGGGGCGCAUGACGGUACCGUAAGAAUAAGCACCGGCUAACUACGUG